CAGCAGCCGCGGUAAACCGUAGGGGACGAGUGUUAUCCGGAUUCAUUGGGCGUAAAGCGCGUGCAGGUGGUGUUUUAAGUUGGGCGUGAAAUCUCCUGGCUUAACUGGGAGGAGUCGUUCAAUACUGAAGCACUUGAGGGCAGGAGAGGAAAGUGGAAUUCCCGGU
rnacentral:rRNA from 1 species